rnacentral:misc_RNA from 1 species
GAUCUCCUUAUAAAGAGAUUAUUACAUGAUUUCAUAUGGAAUUUUCUAUUAUUGGAAAUCAACAUUUAAGGUCAUAAUUUAAUAUAAUGAUGAUCAGAGUGAUAUCUUAAUUGAAAUAUUUCUUUCUGUUAAUAAUUAAUUGUUGCUGCUCCUAAAUCCACCUUUAAUGUUAAUUUAUUUGUUGUCAUUCUUAUCACCAUUUGACUAGAAUCUCUUGUGGAUCACGUCUUGCAUAAGUCUUGCCCAUAAAUGCAUCCAUAACAAGUUUUUACUGAAUUUGAGCAUAUAGUUGCUGUGAAGACUACAGGGAAUGUUUUCUUUUAUGGGGUUUGUUGCAUGUUGAUUAUUCGUGGCAGUAGUUUUCUGUUAAUUUUUAAUACGAUUCUUUAUUUUUUAGCUUUUUAUCUUGUAGGCAAUUAAAGAAUUAAAUAUCAAG